GACGAACGCUGGCGGCGUGCUUAACACAUGCAAGUCGAACGGAAAGGCCUCUUUCGGGGGGUACUCGAGUGGCGAACGGGUGAGUAACACGUGAGUAACCUGCCCUUGACUUUGGGAUAACUUCAGGAAACUGGGGCUAUUACCGGAUAGGCGCUCCUGCUGCAUGGUGGGGGUUGGAAAGUUUCGGCGGUUGGGGGUGGACUCGCGGCUUAUCAGCUUGUUGGUGGGGUAGUGGCUUACCAAGGCUUUGCCGGGUAGCCGGCCUGAGAGGGUGACCGGCCACAUUGGGACUGAGGUACGGCCCAGACGCCGACGGGAGGCAGAAGGGGGGAAUAUUGCACAAUGGGUGGAAGCCUGAUGCAGCAACGCCGUGUGCGGGAUGACGGCCUUCGGGUUGAAAACCGCUUUCGCUCAUGACGAAGCUUUGUGUGACGGUAGUGGGUAAAGAAGCACCGGCUAACUACGUG
rnacentral:rRNA from 1 species